rnacentral:tRNA from 1 species
GGGGAUGUGGCUCAGAGGUAGAGCGCACGCCUAGCAUGCGUGAGGCACUAAGUUCUAUCCUUAGCACCGCA